rnacentral:rRNA from 1 species
UACGUGAGGGGCGAACGUUGUUCGGUGUCACUGGGCUUAAAGGGUGCGUAAGUGGUUUCGUAAGUAAGGUGUGAAAGCCCUCGGCUUACCCGGGGAAUUGCGCCUUAUACUGCGAGACUUGAGGAUUUCAGGGGAAUGGGGAACUCCAGGUGUAGCGGUGAAAUGCGCAGAUAUCUGGGGGAAGGCCGGCGGCGAAGGCGCCAUUCUGGGAAAUUCCUGACACUGAGGCACGAAAGCGUGGGGAGCAAACAGG